CGCUCCCCUCUCGGCGGGGUCAGCGCGGGCCGUCCGGAGGCGCCGCGCCGGCUCCCGCAGCCACUGGGUGGCGCUGUUAGGACUGGAGAGAAGAGGCCGCUUCCCCUGAGACCGCUCUCCCUGCUCAGACCCUCUCCAAACUGUCAUUUCCACCCACCUCUUCCCAAAGAACAGAACACAAUCACUUCCCGGCCCGUCCCCGGCCGCGCGCGGACGCCAGGGGCCCCUCCGAGGCGCAUUUCAAAUGACUAAAAAUGAUAACGCACAUGCUACAAAGCACCUUGCAAAUCAAAAGUGUGACGUGAGGGCUUAGCACAGCCAGGGCCGCGGGUCCCUCCGGGUCACGCUGCCCCCCUGCGCUUGUCCUCCUUUGGGGCACGACGCAGAAGGCUGGAGAGUUUUAGGAGAAAAUGGCUGGAUUCACUGUCUCCUAAAUGUCAACCCAGCAGAAUCAGAAAUUAAGAGGCGAAGGGGAGGGAUUGGUGGUUUGAGGCUGGGACUGUCCAGUGCGCUCACAUCUCCCUGGAGGAGCUGCAGGCCCAGGGGCGCAGACCCAGGCUGGUCUCUGUGCGCACCGAGGUGGGCUGCGCUGGGGUUUGCCUGCUGGGCAUCACCGCUGGGCUGGGAGCCUUCGAGGACAGGGCGUGUGUUUCCCUGCAGGGCUGGUGUCCAAGGUAAGGCCAGGGACCCAGUCAGCACUCACAGGUGCCUGUGCAGAAAACCGGGAUAACAGACAAGACACCAAACCAGCUGUCACGGAGGCGCGGCGGAGGGGAGGGUCCCCUCCCUCGUGCAGUCACCAUCUUCUGCGUGCCCUUCUGUCCUUUUUUCUUCUCUUCAGUCUGACUGUCCCUGAAGCCACCUUGGGGUCUUGGAAGAGAGGGUGGGGGACACGAGGUGGGUGAAGGGGGGGCUUUCUCAGGGGCCACGCCCCUGCACUUGGAGCCUGGUUGUAAUCUUGGUGUAAAUGGGAACCUGGACCAUUGCUCUGAAAGCUAGAUCACUGCUUCAAUCCCGGAGCCCCUCAGGGACUUUCUGGCGGGACCGAUGGGUCUGAUUCCAUUGUCAUGAUAAAGCACAGCUCUGCCAGGUCCAGAAUGUCCUUCCGCCACCAGGGUGCCAGCACCCAUCUGCUGCCCAGAAGCUUGAGAGGAAGGGCAGGUCUGCCCCAGGCCCUCCUGGCCACGGGUCUCAGUGCUGCUGCGGGUGAUGCUCUUGCUGCUGGUUUCAAAAUGAACCAGCUGGUCACGGGCGCAUGCUCAGUGUUGCCAUGCGUCUCUCUGGGGCCUUCUUCCCUCCUUUCGGACAGGAGGUUUUUGUUCAUUCGUUCGUUCCUUCACUCCUCCACCAAAUACGCACGGCAGAGCGCCUGGGCUCACUUCACGGCUCCGUGCCGGCCCCGCGGAUCCCCGGCGAGGAGGCCAGCCCCGGGCCUUGUGGAGUUUCCAUCCUAGUGGGGCUGAUGGACAGAUGGACAGGGGCCCCUUCCCCCCACAGUGCCUUUUGCACAUGAUGCCGACUGCAGCACUGAAGGAGAGGGGACGGGGGCUAGGAGAGCCACUCAGGAAAGAGGGCUUAGUCUUGGGGAGAGGGUGGGGGGCCUCGGAUUUGCCACGUAACUUCCAGAGCCUUCCCUGCGGAACGGGCACGGUGCCGCUGCUCCGUGGGUUUGCCCGGAGGGACAGGGAAGAUGGCACCUGUGACAGCCCCCCGACGAGUGUUGGCGGCUCCCAGGACUCCUGGGUACCUUUAUCUGUCACUAGAUCCACUUUCUGCCUUCUCCUUGGGAUAAACCAAUCGAAUCAUUCAAACUUGCCUGGACAAAUCAGGGAGACGCGUGCCCUAAAGAGCUGGACUUAAAGACUUUGCCGGGGUCCUGCUCUCCCAGGGCCUCCCACGCCGCCUGGUUGCUGAACCCUGUCUCCCAGCGGAUGUCCCGUAGAGAGCACGUGAGGGGCCAAGCACGGCUCUGCACGCCGCGUGGGCUUCAGCCCUGAGCCCGCUCAGCCCUCUGGCCACAGCUUUCCAGCGCUCUGACUACAGAGAAAUGUUUAAAAGACUCAGGAAAUGAACUCACAUUUCCCCCUCUUCCCCUCCUUUUCCCAUACAGUGCUGCUUUCCUGGAAGAAAGUAAACAAACAAGUGUGACUAUUUAAAACAAUUAUUGGAAAACCGGCUCUGAACACCGUGGCUUUGAACGGCUCUCCUGGGCGGAUGUGUCGCUGGGCCCCUGUGGCGCCUCACCCCACGGUGUGUACGUGGGGAGGGGCCGGGGCCAGCCAGAGCCUUGGGCGAGGAGGGUGUGACGGGCCCAUGAAUGGCCCCCUGAACACACGCGGACGCGGAGGGAGAGGACCUUCCUCUCCAGCGCCGGCUCUGUCCGGGAGGGAGAAGGCCUUCCAGCAGCUCUGGUGCCAGCUUGCAGGGAUGUGGGGCCAGCAGAGCCCCUCGAGGUGUUCACCGGUGUGGCUGGCCCGGCUCAGGUUUUCCACUGACAGCCACACGUUACAGACACCCUUGGGAGACGUUCCACUGCUUUCAUAACGCCGAAGGGUUUUUUUUCUGACUCAUCUUCAGAAGAUCCCCCCCACCGCCGCCCCAAUCCCCCAUCGUUUGAAAAUAAAUAUAAUUAGUAACAGGCAGACAUACUGUAUAUAGCCAGCCCUUCCUAUCCGGGAGAGUUAUAAUUAAACAUACAUGCUGUCUGUU